CAUCUUCGCCCGUCAGCACAAAGGAGAAAGUUUCACUGUAAAGAAAGUCACCAGUGGAGCAUGAGAUGUGAAGCUUGAAGCAGAUUUCUGAUACUUUUUGAGGGCUAGCUGGCUCAGGAUCACAGAACUGGAGCUGGAAGGCAUCUUGGAGGCUGUCUACCAGGGGUGGGGAAUCUGUGGCCUUGAGGCCACACGUGGCCCUCUAGGUCCUCAAGUCCAGCCCUUUGCCUGAACCCAAACCUCACAGAACAUUUGUGUGGAUUCACUCAGAGGGCUGCACUUCGAGGACCUACAGGGCCUGGAGGCCAAAAGGCUCCCCAACCCUCUCCUUUUGAAGACCAGGAAACUGAGACCCAGUGAAGUUAAGCCACUUGCCUAAAGAGAAAAAGGGAAGGCUCCAGUCAACACACCAAAUGCCAUUCUUGUGGAAUGCUGUUCUGAGAACACUCCAAAGUCAAAAUCUCUAUGACACAUGGAGCAACUUGAAAGGAUUCAGUCUCCAGGCAGGGCUUCAGGUAAUUCAGUGCUGAUGUAUUCAGAAUAAGACUGUAAUCAAAAGAAGGAAAAUGGUCCUGAGCCUGUUGUGAAGAGGAAAAAGGAGUUCCACAACUCUGCAAAUACUAAAUCAAAAUUCAGCAACAUCAGAGCCUCUGGAUUGGAAGGGAUGUCAGAGGCCAUCUAGUUCAACCCAUAACACUUGUAAUCACUUCUAAAAUGA